GAUGAACGCUAGCUACAGGCUUAACACAUGCAAGUCGAGGGGCAGCAUGGAAGAAGCUUGCUUCUUCUGAUGGCGACCGGCGCACGGGUGCGUAACGCGUAUCAAACCUGCCUCAUACUCGGGGAUAGCCUUGCGAAAGUAAGAUUAAUACCCGAUGUUGUUAUGUUACCGCAUGGUGACAUAACCAAAGAUUUAUCGGUAUGAGAUGGUGAUGCGUCCGAUUAGGUAGUAGGCGGGGUAACGGCCCACCUAGCCUUCGAUCGGUAGGGGUUCUGAGAGGAAGGUCCCCCACACUGGAACUGAGACACGGUCCAGACUCCUACGGGAGGCAGCAGUGAGGAAUAUUGGUCAAUGGACGAAAGUCUGAACCAGCCAAGUAGCGUGCAGGAUGACGGCCCUCUGGGUUGUAAACUGCUUUUAGUUGGGAAUAAAAAAGAGGACGUGUCCUCUAUUGUAUGACCUCAGAAAAAGG
rnacentral:rRNA from 2 species